rnacentral:rRNA from 1 species
UUCUGGGAAAGCUUUCGCGGUAUGGGAUGGGGUCGCGUCCUAUCAGCUUGACGGCGGGGUAACGGCCCACCGUGGCUUCGACGGGUAGCCGGCCUGAGAGGGCGACCGGCCACAUUGGGACUGAGAUACGGCCCAGACUCCUACGGGAGGCAGCAGUGGGGAAUAUUGCACAAUGGGCGCAAGCCUGAUGCAGCGACGCCGCGUGAGGGAUGGAGGCCUUCGGGUUGUAAACCUCUUUUAUCGGGGAGCAAGCGUGAGUGAGUUUACCCGUUGAAUAAGCACCGGCUAACUACGUGCCAGCAGCCGCGGUAAUACGUAGGGUGCAAGCGUUAUCCGGAAUUAUUGGGCGUAAAGGGCUCGUAGGCGGUUCGUCGCGUCCGGUGUGAAAGUCCAUCGCUUAACGGUGGAUCCGCGCCGGGUACGGGCGGGCUUGAGUGCGGUAGGGGAGACUGGAAUUCCCGGUGUAACGGUGGAAUGUGUAGAUAUCGGGAAGAACACCAAUGGCGAAGGCAGGUCUCUGGGCCGUUACUGACGCUGAGGAGCGAAAGCGUGGGGAGCGAACAGGAUAGAUACCCUGGUAGUCCACGCCGUAAACGGUGGAUGCUGGAUGUGGGGCCCGUUCCACGGGUUCCGUGUCGGAGCUAACGCGUUAAGCAUCCCGCCUGGGGAGUACGGCCGCAAGGCUAAAACUCAAAGAAAUUGACGGGGGCCCGCACAAGCGGCGGAGCAUGCGGAUUAAUUCGAUGCAACGCGAAGAACCUUACCUGGGCUUGACAUGUUCCCGACGAUCUCAGAGAUGGGGUUUCCCUUCGGGGCGGGUUCACAGGUGGUGCAUGGUCGUCGUCAGCUCGUGUCGUGAGAUGUUGGGUUAAGUCCCGC